CAAAAACUCUUUUUCAUUCUUUUUUAAAAUUGCACGCCUUUCCAAAACAUGUGAGGCAUGCCUUUCCGAUUUCAACGUAUGCCCCUCUUUAUAUAUCUUCUUCACUCUUGUCUUCUACAACACUCCAUAUGAUCUCUCUCUCUCUCUCCAACAAUCGUUAUUCAUUCAAAACAUGUGAGGCAUGCCUUUCCAAUUUCAAUGUAUCCCUCUCUUUAUAUAUCUUGCUCACUAUCGCAUUCUACAACACUCCAUCUCUCUCUCUCUAAGAGUCCUUCUUCUUUCAAUUUUUUUUUAUUCCAAUGCAUCUUCAAAUAAGUAACUAUUUAGAUUCCCAAUUGAGUCUCAAUUACUUCAACUCUAAUAGGUUUUCUCAGAUCUAAGUUUUAAUUUACUCUCCAAUGUUUGAUUGUGUGGUUUUCAUUUCCCACAUCAAGUCAUUGAUAGUAAUUGCAAUCUCUUUGGAAGGGUUGUUGAUUGUAGUGUCAAUCGUGUCUUUAAGGAAGGACAACAGUUGAUUGCAUGUUUGUUGUUAUUCUUUAGCUAGUGCAACAAAAAAUAAAUCAAAUCAAGAUCUACUACUUUUAAUUGGUGCUAUGGCGGUGGUGGGCACACUCAUCAAGUUAGUGCUAUGCCUUAUACAAUGUGGAGAGGAAAAGCGACUCUUAAUUCUUCAAAAGUAGAGCAUUGUUCUUUUUUAAGGAAUACAUCUACCAAUGCAUUUCCUCUAUGUUUUUUAACACCUUUAAUUUGUUUUUCUAUUACCAUUACCGG